UACGUAGGGGGCAAGCGUUGUCCGGAUUUAUUGGGCGUAAAGAGCGUGUAGGCGGCUAGAUAGGUCCGUUGUGAAAACUCGGGGCUCAACCCCGAGACGUCGGUGGAAACCACCUGGCUAGAGUCCGGAAGAGGAGAGUGGAAUUCCCGGUGUAGCGGUGAAAUGCGCAGAUAUCGGGAAGAACACCCGUGGCGAAGGCGGCUCUCUGGGACGGUACUGACGCUGAGACGCGAAAGCGUGGGGAGCGAACAGG
rnacentral:rRNA from 1 species